UGAUUUUAAAUGUACACAUUACACCACCAUUGUUAAUUAUUGAUUUAUGAAAAGAAGAAUAAAACAUGAUCUCAUUAAAGUAAAGAAAUAUCCAAUCCAUUACCUUUACAAUACAUGCACACAUACUCAUAUGUAUUAUUAGCAUCACAUUUAAACUGAAGAAAUUAAUGAAUUUCCAUUUGUUUUAAUUAUUGGUAAAUUUCAAUUUAUUUACUGCACUUAACAUCUUGAGAAAGAAACACAGUCUAAUCAAUUGAAAAGCCUUUUUCAUGGUAUCAAUAUCACUUGAUACUUGAACAAGAAAUAAUAAAACCUAUUAAAUCAAAGUUUUAUCCAACAUUUGACCUUUCCAUGGCUCUUAUCAAAUAUCUGCUGUAUUGAUAUUUA